rnacentral:rRNA from 1 species
UCGAGAAUCAUUCGCAAUGGGCGAAAGCCUGACGAUGCGACGCCGUGUGAGCGAUGAAGGCCUUCGGGUUGUAAAGCUCUUUCGCUUGGGAACAAGGCGAUCUAGUGAAUAGCUAGAGAGUUUGAGGGUACCAGGUAAAGAAGCACCGGCUAACUCCGUGCCAGCAGCUGCGGUAAUACGGAGGGUGCAAGCAUUAAUCGGAUUUAUUGGGCGUAAAGGGCGCGUAGGCGGGGGGUUAAGUCAGAUGUGAAAUUCCGAAGCUCAACUUCGGAGCUGCAUUUGAAACUGGCUCUCUAGAGGGUAGACGGAGAAAACGGAAUUCCACGUGUAGCGGUGAAAUGCGUAGAUAUGUGGAAGAACACCUGUGGCGAAAGCGGUUUUCUAGUUUAUACCUGACGCU